rnacentral:misc_RNA from 1 species
GAUGAAGAACGCAGCGAAAUGCGAUAAGUAAUGUGAAUUGCAGAAUUCAGUGAAUCAUCGAAUCUUUGAACGCACCUUGCGCCCUUUGGCUAUUCCAGAGGGCAUGCCUGUUUGAGUAUCAUGAACACCUCAACUCUCAUGGUUCUGCCAUGAUGAGCUUGGACUUUGGAGGUCUUGCUGGCCCCUGUGGUCAGCUCCUCUCAAAUGGAUCAGCUUGCCAGUGUUUGGUGGCAUCACAGGUGUGAUAACUAUCUACGCUUGUGGUUUUCCACCAGGUAACCUUCAGUGAUGGAGGUUCGCUGGAGCUCAUAAACGUCUCUCCUCAGCGAGGACAGCUUCUUGAACGUUUGAUCUCAAAUCAGGUAGGGCUACCCGCUGAACUUAAGCAUAUCAAUAAGCGGAGGA